AUUGAACGCUGGCGGCAUGCUUUACACAUGCAAGUCGAACGGUAACAGGCCUUCGGGUGCUGACGAGUGGCGAACGGGUGAGUAAUGCAUCGGAACGUACCCAGAGGUGGGGGAUAACGCAGCGAAAGCUGUGCUAAUACCGCAUGUGAUCUGAGGAUGAAAGCGGGGGACCGAGCAGCAAUGUUUGGCCUCGCGCCUUUGGAGCGGCCGAUGUCGGAUUAGCUAGUUGGUGGGGUAAGGCCUACCAAGGCGACGAUCCGUAGCUGGUCUGAGAGGACGACCAGCCACACUGGGACUGAGACACGGCCCAGACUCCUACGGGAGGCAGCAGUGGGGAAUUUUGGACAAUGGGCGCAAGCCUGAUCCAGCAAUGCCGCGUGCGGGAAGAAGGCCUUCGGGUUGUAAACCGCUUUUGGCAGGAACGAAACGGUGUCCGCUAAUACCGGGCGCUAAUGACGGUACCUGCAGAAUAAGCACCGGCUAACUACGUG
rnacentral:rRNA from 1 species